UACGUAGGGGGCAAGCGUUGUCCGGAUUUAUUGGGCGUAAAGAGCGUGUAGGCGGUUUGGUAGGUCCGCUGUGAAAACUCGAGGCUCAACCUCGAGACGCCGGUGGAAACCAUCAGACUAGAGUCCGGAAGAGGAGAGUGGAAUUCCUGGUGUAGCGGUGAAAUGCGCAGAUAUCAGGAGGAACACCCGUGGCGAAGGCGGCUCUCUGGGACGGUACUGACGCUGAGACGCGAAAGCGUGGGGAGCGAACAGG
rnacentral:rRNA from 1 species